rnacentral:rRNA from 1 species
UGGGGAAUAUUGGACAAUGGGCGCAAGCCCGAUCCAGCCAUGCCGCGUGAGUGAUGAAGGCCUUAGGGUUGUAAAGCUCUUUUAUCCGGGACGAUAAUGACGGUACCGGAAGAAUAAGCCCCGGCUAACUUCGUGCCAGCAGCCGCGGUAAUACGAAGGGGGCUAGCGUUGCUCGGAAUCACUGGGCGUAAAGGGCGCGUAGGCGGACAUUUAAGUCAGGGGUGAAAUCCCGGGGCUCAACCUCGGAAUUGCCUUUGAUACUGGGUGUCGCGCGACCGGAAGAGGUAAGUGGAACUGCGAGUGUAGAGGUGAAAUUCGUAGAUAUUCGCAAGAACACCAGUGGCGAAGGCGGCUUACUGGUCCGGUUCUGACGCUGAGGCGCGAAAGCGUGG